UACGUAGGUGGCAAGCGUUGUCCGGAAUUAUUGGGCGUAAAGCGCGCGCAGGCGGUCCUUUAAGUCUGAUGUGAAAGCCCACGGCUCAACCGUGGAGGGUCAUUGGAAACUGGGGGACUUGAGUGCAGGAGAGAAGAGUGGAAUUCCACGUGUAGCGGUGAAAUGCGUAGAGAUGUGGAGGAACACCAGUGGCGAAGGCGACAUCCUGGACCGGUAUUGACGCUGAGGCGCGAAAGCCAGGGGAGCAAACGGG
rnacentral:rRNA from 1 species